rnacentral:rRNA from 1 species
UGGGUAAUAUUGCACAAUGGGCGCAAGCCUGAUGCAGCCAUGCCUCGUGUAUGAAGAAGGCCUUCGGGUUGUAAAGUACUUUCAGCGGGGAGGAAGGGAGUAAAGUUAAUACCUUUGCUCAUUGACGUUACCCGCAGAAGAAGCACCGGCUAACUCCGUGCCAGCAGCCGCGGUACUACGGAGGGUGCAAGCGUUAAUCGGAAUUACUGGGCGUAAAGCGCACGCAGGCGGUUUGUUAAGUCAGAUGUGAAAUCCCCGGGCUCAACCUGGGAACUGCAUCUGAUACUGGCAAGCUUGAGUCUCGUAGAGGGGGGUAGAAUUCCAGGUGUAGCGGUGAAAUGCGUAGAGAUCUGGAGGAAUACCGGUGGCGAAGGCGGCCCCCUGGACGAAGACUGACGCUCAGGUGCGAAAGCGGGGGGAGCAAACAGG